rnacentral:lncRNA from 1 species
AGCUAUUUCUUUUGAAUGCACUCCGUAGGAGGUGACAGUUGUGUUAUUACAAAAAGGUCUUGAAACUUUACCACAACAUAUUCAGCAAGGUGACGAUGUAAAACCAUUGUGAAACAAGAGAGAGGUGAAGGAGAAAUUCCACACCUGGGAAGUUAUUGAAUGUUUCAAGGCAGACCAUGCUUUAGAAGGGAAAGCAUCCCUGCUCUGCCUAAUCCACUGCCCCAGCCCAGUGGUCAAGAGCCCUCCAGUGAAGGAGACAGAGCUCCAGCCCACCUCGCAUCCAUUGUAUCCUCCAGCUCAUGUGCCAAGUGGAGCAGCCAGGCACCUUAAAUUGGCACCAUCGACUGCUUACUUUUGUGGUGUGACACUGGGACAAUGGAGAUUUUGAGUGUGAUUGCAUUGAGCCAUAUACAGGAACUCUCUGGCACAAAAGGGAGAUCACGGGGUGAGGGACACUUCUGUAAGUGCAAAAAAAACAUCAGAAACAAGUUCUGUAUUGAUUCCCGACCCAUUAACUUCGGUUUUAUGUUUCCUUUCAGAUUAUUCAGAUCUUUCCUGCUUUACUGAUGUUUUCUCUAGAAGGGGAAGUGGAACCUGACAGCAUGGACUAGAGCAGUCGAGACCAGAACCGAGUGCUCCUUUUGGCUCAAUACACGUAGGUGGUGUGCAGUCAGCUCCUUUGUGAACAUCCGUGAUGGAGAAUGUGUUUGGAAACAAUGGACCACAGCAGUACAUUCUCUCCAAACGAAGCUGGAUGGCUGAUACCGGACCCCACUCCCCUCUCCCAACACCAACACCGAGACCCCCGCACAUUUCUGCUGAGCCCCACACCUCCUCCACCACCCCCCGCACCUCCCUCGUUCCUCAGCUCCCCGCAGGUGCCGCGGCCGCCUCCCCCCUGCUCUGCCUAGCCUCCCGCAAACCCUCCGCAUCCCACCGCCCCCUGCCCAGGUGCCUCCCCUGGCUCUCUGCGGCCCCUGGCCUCCUCGGCACGGCUCGGCACGGCUCGGCACGGCACGGCUCGCACCGCACGGCUCGGCACGGCUCGGCACAGCCCUACCCCGGCCCGGCCCGGCCCGGCCCGGCCCCGCCGCCUCCCCAUUGGUCCCUCCCGCUCCCCUCCGCUCCGCUCCGCGGCGCCCCCCGGGCGGCGGCCAGGCCGAGACGCGGCGCCGGAGGCAGCGCUGCCCCGCGGCGGCGGCGGCGGCGGCGGCUUAAAGCGUGCGCGCCCGCGGCGAGGGCGCGCUCACCUGGGCGCCGCUCCAUGGGCUCCGCCGCCGCGCACAGAGCCGGCCGCCGGAGCCGCUGCGGGGCAGAGCCCAGGUGA